CAAGUUGUCUCUUUGAGGUUUAUGGCCAUGACAGAGAAAGGGAACAGUAAGACAGCCAUUUACAGCAGUCUUUGUGCUGACAAGCAGCAAGGAGCAAAGCUUCAGAUUUGCUCUUUUCAGCUCAAGUCCUCCAAUGCCUGGGGAGAUCUGCAGCCAAGGAAAAGCCUAUAACAGGUACUGCUACACAACACUCUGGAGAGUCAGCAAAAUACAAGUUGAACUUGAAAAACAACUGAACAAGUAGAGAGGGAAUGUUCUGACAUUGGAACAAUACAGAGAAAAAUAUGCACACGCAUUACGAACAAGAUCUGCCAUUCUAUACUGACAUAAAAGAAGCACUUCCCAGAAGCCUGAAACCUAGAAAAUGCAUUAAGGUUUAUCCUCCACAUCAACUGGAAGAUGAAAUCUCAGAAGUGGACACGUCUUUAAGCACUCUUUUUGGUGCCUGUGUAGUCUGCCUUCUGGAAGUUAGG
ensembl:lncRNA